rnacentral:rRNA from 1 species
GACGAACGCUGGCGGCGUGCCUAAUACAUGCAAGUCGAGCGAAGUUUUUCUGGUGCUUGCACUAGAAAAACUUAGCGGCGAACGGGUGAGUAACACGUAAAGAACCUGCCUCAUAGACUGGGACAACUAUUGGAAACGAUAGCUAAUACCGGAUAACAGUAUUUCUCGCAUGAGAGAUAUUUAAAAGUUGGUUAUGCUAACACUAUGAGAUGGCUUUGCGGUGCAUUAGCUAGUUGGUGGGGUAAAGGCCCACCAAGGCGACGAUGCAUAGCCGACCUGAGAGGGUGAUCGGCCACACUGGGACUGAGACACGGCCCAGACUCCUACGGGAGGCAGCAGUAGGGAAUCUUCCGCAAUGGGCGAAAGCCUGACGGAGCAACGCCGCGUGAGUGAAGAAGGAUUUCGGUUCGUAAAGCUCUGUUGUUAGGGAAGAAUGGAUAUGUAGUAACUAUACAUGUAAGAGACGGUACCUAACCAGAAAGCCACGGCGAACUACGU